AACGCACAUUGCGCCCUUUGGCAUUCCGAAGGGCAUGCCUGUUCGAGCGUCAUUACACCAAUCAAGCCUGGCUUGGUAUUAGGUGACGGGACCGCCCCCGCGGCCCCGCGCCGUAACGACCCCGGCGGGACGGACCGGAUCUCAGCGUUGUGAAUCCAAAGCCGCUGGCGAGACGGGACGGCCGUGCCGUUAAACCACCCACCUUCUCAGGUUGACCUCGGAUCAGGUAGGGAUACCCGCUGAACUUAA
rnacentral:misc_RNA from 1 species